UACAUUUGAACUUUGAUUGUUCUAUCAUUGGUCAUGUAUCUUCUCGUCUCAAUUCUGCAUCUUCGCUAGCCUGGAAUCUUCGCCCGGUUGAUUUUGAUUACUGCAUCUUCUCAGUCCUCGAGUCGUUCGCAUGUGCCUCACCUUAAACUUGUCGCUCAACCCUCCUCCCUCAAUCCUCAAUCUCAACAUCAAACUGCCUGCACUUCCGGUUCUUGAUAUGAAAUAUCUGUUGCUCUUCCAAUUUUGUUUCCUUGAGAGGUAAAAGAAAUUAUGUUGUGUGAUGCUGUUCUUGUAUUUUUCCUGCAGAUAUAGAUCUGGAAGAGGAGAGAGAACACUAAUUGGGUUGGCUUGUACAACUCUUCGUAGUUAGAACUGAGUACAAUAUAGAAUUGACAGGGUACUUGACUGUGGAGGUUUAAG
rnacentral:misc_RNA from 1 species